rnacentral:rRNA from 1 species
UCCAGAGGGGGCAAGCGUUAUUCGGAAUUAUUGGGCGUAAAGGGCGCGUAGGCGGCCAUUCAAGUGACGGGUGAAAGCCCUCGGCUUAACCGAGGAACUGCCUGUCAGACUGGAUGGCUUGAGACCGGGAGAGGUGAGUGGAAUUCCCAGUGUAGCGGUGAAAUGCGUAGAUAUUGGGAGGAACACCAGUGGCGAAGGCGGCUCACUGGACCGGAACUGACGCUGAGGCGCGAAAGCGUGGGGAGCAAACAGG